UUUAAGCUUCCUACGGGAGGCUGCAGUGGGGAAUCUUAGACAAUGGGGGAAACCCUGAUCUAGCCAUGCCGCGUGAUCGAUGAAGGCCUUAGGGUUGUAAAGAUCUUUCAGGUGGGAAGAUAAUGACUGUACCACCAGAAGAAGCCCCGGCUAACUCCGUGCCAGCAGCCGCGGUAAUACGGAGGGGGCUAGCGUUGUUCGGAAUUACUGGGCGUAAAGCGCACGUAGGCGGAUCAGAAAGUCAGAGGUGAAAUCCCAGGGCUCAACCUUGGAACUGCCUUUGAAACUCCUGAUCUUGAGGUCGAGAGAGGUGAGUGGAAUUCCGAGUGUAGAGGUGAAAUUCGUAGAUAUUCGGAGGAACACCAGUGGCGAAGGCGGCUCACUGGCUCGAUACUGACGCUGAGGUGCGAAAGCGUGGGGAGCAAACAGGAUUAGAUACCCUUGUAGUCGAAUUCUU
rnacentral:rRNA from 1 species